UCCAGACUCCUACGGGAGGCAGCAGUGAGGAAUAUUGGUCAAUGGGCGAGAGCCUGAACCAGCCAAGCCGCGUGAGGGAGGAAGGUACAGAGUAUCGUAAACCUCUUUUGUCAGGGAACAAAGACUGGGACGCGUCCCCGGAUGAGUGUACCUGAAGAAAAAGCAUCGGCUAACUCCGUGCCAGCAGCCGCGGUAAUACGGAGGAUGCGAGCGUUAUCCGGAUUUAUUGGGUUUAAAGGGUGCGUAGGCGGGCAUUUAAGCCGGCGGUCAAAUGUCGGGGCUCAACCCCGGCCUGCCGUCGGAACUGGGUGCCUUGAGUGGGCGAGAAGUAUGCGGAAUGCGUGGUGUAGCGGUGAAAUGCAUAGAUAUCACGCAGAACUCCGAUUGCGAAGGCAGCAUACCGGCGCCCAACUGACGCUGAAGCACGAAAGCGUGGGUAUCGAACAGGAUUAGAUACCCGUGUA
rnacentral:rRNA from 1 species